AAGUCGUAACAAGGUUUCCGUAGGUGAACCUGCGGAAGGAUCAUUAAAGAAUACAAAAGUCGGUUGCCUCUGUGCUGGCAGCAAUGCAUGUGCACGACAGCUGCAAAUCCACACACCUGUGCACUUUGGACUUUGGGGUUCGCACUCUUGUGCAGUCGGUCGACUCUGCUCGACCUGGACCCUAAGGUACUUUUUUCCACACAUGCCGAAUGUGAUAGAAUGUAACUCGUGCUCAGUCGCACAUCUAAUACAACUUUCAACAACGGAUCUCUUGGCUCUC
rnacentral:misc_RNA from 1 species